AAAUGCCUCUGGCAUUGCCUCCCGGUGUCCGUGAGUGUGCAAAUGCCCCUGGCAUCAGCUCCAGGCCCUAUGGGUGCCCUAGAGCAUGUAAAUGCUGCCCAUGGGUGCUCAUGAGUGUGCAAAUGCCUCUGGCAUUGGAUCCUGGUGCCUGCGGGUGCUCGUGAGCGUGCAGAUGCCUCCAGCAUCAGCUCCCGGUGUCUCUGGGUGCCCGUGAGCAUGCAAAUGCCUCCAGCAUUGGCUCUGGCAUCAGCUCCCAGCACCCACGCGUGCCUGUGAGCGUGCGGGUGCCCGUGGGUGUGCAAAUGCCUCCGGCUCCGGCACCGGCUCCGGGAGGCUUUGCCUGGCGCUCACUGGCUUCUCCCUCCCUGCAGUUCAUUUCCCAGACUCAGGCGCAGCUGCUGCAGGGAGCCGCUCCCAACACGCCGGUGGUCGUCAGCAACCCAGUGAGCGCGGGGCGCCCUGCGCCCCCAUCCCGGAGCCUUCGGCUCCAUCCUCAUCCUCCCGCACCCCCAACUCCGGCCUCCUUCACCGCCGGCGGAGCUGGGGGUGCCGGGGGGACGCCGGGGCCCCCGGGGGGGCUGAGCCCGCCAUGUCCCCGCAGAGCGUCCCCUUCCACGCGGCGCUGCCCAAGACGCCCUCGGCCCAGCCGCGGCCCAUCACCAUCGUGGGCAGCGUCCCGCCG
rnacentral:lncRNA from 1 species